AGGGGUAUAGCUUAGUGGUAGAUCAUCUGCUUUGCACACAGAAGGUCCUAAGUUCAAUCCCUGGUAUCUCCA